CACCCCCUGCCAGAAACCCUAACUUGCUUGCUAGAUCCUUCGCCACCAGUGACUAGGCUAUCGUCCAUUUAACCCUAACUCGAGUUCUCCUUCGUGUGUGCUAGGGUUUUCUGCAUCGUCACGAGGAUCGGUUUUAAGUUUAGUAAGGAGAUCAUUGUACCCUGCAACAUUUAUCUCCUACAACUUAUGGUAGCUUGCUGGAGGUUCGUGCUGAGAAAAAAGUGUCCAACACUAGAUAUGGAGGAAAUAUUCACCAAAACGUUAAAAUGAUCGAGAAAAUAUUUAACAAUGUUAUUUAUUUUGCAUUGCUAUGUAAUAGUUUAAUUAG